CGUUGUCUGCAUGCGCAUGGGAUCGGAUAUUUAAGUUGAUUUACACGUAAAAUUCAAUUAACGAAUAAUGCAUGAAUUCGAUGCAGAUUUAUACACAUCCAUUUAUAUAUGCAAGCUCGUGCCAAAAAAAAAUAGAGAAUGAAAACGCCUUAACAUAUGCAUGCUUCAGAUAUAGCAUUAAUUAAUUAGCAGAUGAACUGAUCAGCAAUGCAUGCAGGUAGGUAGAAGCUUAAACUAUCGAACACAACCGUACUGGAGAUCGAUUAAUUCGACGUUCCAAUACACACAUAUAACAGUUCGUUGAUCGAUGUAAAAACUAAAUUAUGAUAAUAUGCAGUAGAGUAGUGUGCAGUGCUCACGGCCGCCGUCGGCAGAGGCGACGUCGGCGAAGGCAGCAGCCACCAGCAGGAGGGUGAGCACGACGAAAGCCUUGGACGCCAUUAGCUUGUGCAAACUAAGCAAGCAAGCUAGUAUAAGUUAGCUGAUCACUCGAGCUCACUUCGAUCACUUGCUGUAUGCUUAAUU
rnacentral:lncRNA from 1 species